AAAACUUUCAGCAACGGAUCUCUUGGCUCUCGCAUCGAUGAAGAACGCAGCGAAAUGCGAUACGUAAUGUGAAUUGCAGAAUUCCGUGAAUCAUCGAAUCUUUGAACGCACAUUGCGCCUUUGGGUCCAAACCAAAGGCAUGCCUGUUUGAGUGUCAUUACAAUCUUCU
rnacentral:rRNA from 2 species